AGGAAUUUAAAAGUCGAACAGACUUACUAUUAAAGCUACUGCGCCCUACAGUCAUCCUAAUCCAACAUCGAGGUCUCAAUCUUUCUUGUCGAUUAGAACUCUUCAAGAAAAUUAAG
rnacentral:rRNA from 1 species